rnacentral:tRNA from 1 species
CAGGAAGUAGUUUAUUAAAAUAUUAAUUUUGGAGAUUAAAGAUAAGAAUGACUCUUUUUCCUGA